GAUGAACGCUAGCGGCAGGCUUAAUACAUGCAAGUCGAGGGACAGCACAGGUAGCAAUACUGGGUGGUAACCGGCAAACGGGUGCGGAACACGUACACAACCUUCCUUUAAGUGGGGGAUAGUCCAGAGAAAUUUGGAUUAAUACCCCGUAAUAUAGUUGAAUGGCAUCAUUUGAUUAUUAUAGCUACGGCGCUUAAUGAUGGGUGUGCGGCUGAUUAGAUAGUUGGCGGGGUAACGGCCCACCAAGUCUACGAUCAGUAGCUGAUGUGAGAGAAUGGUGAGCCAAACGGGCACUGAGACACGGACCCGACGCCUACGGGAGGCAGCAGUAAGGAAUAUUGGUCAAUGGACGCAAGUCUGAACCAGCCAUGCCGCGUGAAGGAUUAAGGUCCUCUGGAUUGUAAACUUCUUUUAUUUGGGACGAAAAAGGGCCUUUCUAGGUCAACUGACGGUACCAGAUGAAUAAGCACCGGCUAACUCCGUGCCAGCAGCCGCGGUAACAC
rnacentral:rRNA from 1 species